GGGGCUGUAGCUCAGUUGGGAGAGCGCUUGAAUGGCAUUCAAGAGGUCAGGGGUUCGAUUCCCCUCUGCUCCACCA
rnacentral:tRNA from 3 species